rnacentral:rRNA from 1 species
CGUGUAGGCGGUAAGAUAAGUCUGGUGUGAAAUACCUCGGCUCAACCGAGGGCCCGCGCUGGAAACUGUCUUACUAGAGUGAUGGAGGGGAAACUGGAAUUCCAGGUGUAGGGGUGAAAUCUGUAGAGAUCUGGAAGAACACCGGAGGCGAAGGCGAGUUUCUGGCCAUCUACUGACGCUGAGGCGCGAAAGCGUGGGGAGCGAACAGGAUUAGAUACCCUGGUAGUCC